rnacentral:rRNA from 1 species
UACGUAGGGUGCGAGCGUUGUCCGGAAUUACUGGGCGUAAAGAGCUCGUAGGUGGUUUGUCGCGUUGUUCGUGAAAACCGGGGGCUUAACCCUCGGCGUGCGGGCGAUACGGGCAGACUGGAGUACUGCAGGGGAGACUGGAAUUCCUGGUGUAGCGGUGGAAUGCGCAGAUAUCAGGAGGAACACCGGUGGCGAAGGCGGGUCUCUGGGCAACAACUGACGCUGAGGAGCGAAAGCGUGGGGAGCGAACAGG